GGACAAUGGGGGCAACCCUGAUCCAGCAAUGCCAUGUGUGUGAAGAAGGCCCUAGGGUUGUAAAGCACUUUAGUUGGGGAGGAAAGCCUCAAGGUUAAUAGCCUUGGGGGAGGACGUUACCCAAAGAAUAAGCACCGGCUAACUCCGUGCCAGCAGCCGCGGUAAUACGGGGGGUGCAAGCGUUAAUCGGAAUUACUGGGCGUAAAGGGUCUGUAGGUGGUUUGUUAAGUCAGAUGUGAAAGCCCAGGGCUCAACCUUGGAACUGCAUUUGAUACUGGCAAACUAGAGUA
rnacentral:rRNA from 1 species